rnacentral:rRNA from 1 species
AAUUAGAUUGUUCCCGCGGGCACAUUUCCCCUUCUGCCGCCGAAUACAUUAGCAUGGGAUAAUGAAAUAGGACCCUGUCCUCCUGUUUACACGUGUUGGUUUUUGAGGACCAGGGUAAUGAUUAAUAGGGAUAGUUGGGGGCAUUAAUAUUUAAUUGUCAGAGGUGAAAUUCUUGGAUUUAUGAAAGAUUAACUUCUGCGAAAGCAUCUGCCAAGGAUGUUUUCAUUAAUCAAGAACGAAAGUUAGGGGAUCGAAGACGAUCAGAUACCGUCGUAGUCUUAACCAUAAACGAUGCCGACCAGCGAUUAGGAGACGUUGAAUACAAAACACCACCAUCAGACGGCGGGCCAUUCCGUUUAACGGCGGGGUGGCUCGUUUCUCUGAUGGCCCGGUGAAUGACUCCCUAC